rnacentral:rRNA from 1 species
UACGAAGGGGGCUAGCGUUGCUCGGAAUCACUGGGCGUAAAGCGCACGUAGGCGGAUCUUUAAGUCAGGGGUGAAAUCCUGGAGCUCAACUCCAGAACUGCCUUUGAUACUGGGGAUCUCGAGUCCGGGAGAGGUGAGUGGAACUGCGAGUGUAGAGGUGAAAUUCGUAGAUAUUCGCAAGAACACCAGUGGCGAAGGCGGCUCACUGGCCCGGUACUGACGCUGAGGAGCGAAAGCGUGGGGAGCGAACAGG